CGGACGGGUGAGUAACACGUGGAUAACCUACCUAUAAGACUGGGAUAACUUCGGGAAACCGGAGCUAAUACCGGAUAAUAUUUUGAACCGCAUGGUUCAAAAGUGAAAGACGGUCUUGCUGUCACUUAUAGAUGGAUCCGCGCUGCAUUAGCUAGUUGGUAAGGUAACGGCUUACCAAGGCAACGAUGCGUAGCCGACCUGAGAGGGUGAUCGGCCACACUGGAACUGAGACACGGUCCGAGACUCCUACGGGAGGCAGCAGCC
rnacentral:rRNA from 1 species